GCGGAAAUAGCUCAGUUGGUAGAGCAUAACCUUGCCAAGGUUAGGGGUCGCGAGUUCGAGUCUCGUUUUCCGCU
rnacentral:tRNA from 1 species